AGAGUUUGAUCCUGGCUCAGGAUGAACGCUAGCGACAGGCCUAACACAUGCAAGUCGAGGGGCAUCGGGGCGAGGAGCAAUCCUUGCCGCCGGCGACCGGCGCACGGGUGAGUAACGCGUAUGCGACCUGCCCGUUGCAGGGGGAUAAUCGGGAGAAAUCCCGUCUAAUACCGCGUAACGCCGCGGGGCUGCAUGGCCCUGCGGCCAAAGGGAGCGAUUCCGGCAACGGAUGGGCAUGCGUGACAUUAGCUAGUUGGCGGGGCAACGGCCCACCAAGGCGACGAUGUCUAGGGGUUCUGAGAGGAAGGUCCCCCACACUGGUACUGAGACACGGACCAGACUCCUACGGGAGGCAGCAGUGAGGAAUAUUGGUCAAUGGGCGCGAGCCUGAACCAGCCAAGUCGCGUGAGGGAUGACGGCCCUACGGGUUGUAAACCUCUUUUGUCGGGGAGCAAAUUCCGUUACGUGUAACGGAGUCGAGAGUACCCGAAGAAAAAGCAUCGGCUAACUCCGUGCCAGCAGCCGCGGUAAUACGGAGGAUGCGAGCGUUAUCCGGAUUUAUUGGGUUUAAAGGGUGCGUAGGCGGACUGUCAAGUCAGCGGUAAAAUACGGGGGCUCAACCUCCGCCCGCCGUUGAAACUGACGGUCUUGAGUGGGCGAGAAGUAUGCGGAAUGCGUGGUGUAGCGGUGAAAUGCAUAGAUAUCACGCAGAACUCCGAUUGCGAAGGCAGCAUACCGGCGCCCAACUGACGCUGAAGCACGAAAGCGUGGGUAUCGAACAGGAUUAGAUACCCUGGUAGUCCACGCAGUAAACGAUGAAUACUAGCUGUCCGGGGCGAAUGAGCCCUGGGUGGCACAGCGAAAGCGUUAAGUAUUCCACCUGGGGAGUACGCCGGCAACGGUGAAACUCAAAGGAAUUGACGGGGGCCCGCACAAGCGGAGGAACAUGUGGUUUAAUUCGAUGAUACGCGAGGAACCUUACCCGGGCUCAAACGACACAGGAACGUACCUGAAAGGGUUCGGCUCUACGGAGCCUGUGUCGAGGUGCUGCAUGGUUGUCGUCAGCUCGUGCCGUGAGGUGUCGGCUUAAGUGCCAUAACGAGCGCAACCCCCAUCGACAGUUGCUAACAGGUCAGGCUGAGGACUCUGUCGAGACUGCCGGCGCAAGCUGCGAGGAAGGCGGGGAUGACGUCAAAUCAGCACGGCCCUUACGUCCGGGGCGACACACGUGUUACAAUGGCAGGUACAGCGGGAAGCCACCUGGCGACAGGGAGCGGAACCCGAAAGCCUGUCUCAGUUCGGAUUGGAGUCUGCAACCCGACUCCAUGAAGCUGGAUUCGCUAGUAAUCGCGCAUCAGCCACGGCGCGGUGAAUACGUUCCCGGGCCUUGUACACACCGCCCGUCAAGCCAUGGAAGCCGGGGGUGCCUGAAGUGCGCUGCCGCGAGGAGCGCCCUAGGGUAAAACCGGUGACUGGGGCUAAGUCGUAACAAGGUAACCAA
rnacentral:rRNA from 2 species